rnacentral:rRNA from 1 species
UGGGGAAUUUUGGACAAUGGACGCAAGUCUGAACCAGCCAUGCCGCGUGGAGGAUGAAGGCCCUCUGGGUUGUAAACUUCUUUUAUAUGGGACGAAAAAGGGUCUUUCUAGAUCAACUGGCGGUACCAUGUGAAUAAGCACCGGCUAACUCCGUGCCAGCAGCCGCGGUAAUACGGAGGGUGCAAGCGUUAUCCGGAUUCACUGGGUUUAAAGGGUGCGUAGGUGGCUUAUCAAGCCAGAGGUGAAAGGCAUUGGCUCAACCAAUGUAAGCCUUUGGAACUGAUAGGCUUGAGUGCAGGAGAGGUAAGUGGAAUUCCUAGUGUAGAGGUGAAAUUAGUAGAUAGGCGGAGGAACACCGAUGGCGAAGGCAAUCCCCUGGACCUGUACUGACGAUCAUGCACGAAAGCGUGGGGAGCAAACA